AAGCAAGAUGGUCCACUCACCACUGGUCCUCACUCCUCAUUUUCAAUUCACAUUACGGUACAAAUAUUGUGAGAUGGGCUCAAGCAUUAGGCACACCCUGUGCUAGACUUUUAUUAGAGAAGAGAACCCAUUUUUGUAGAUGGUUUUCAUGUACAUCUUUCAAUUCAGAAAGAAGGAAUGCCAUUUUUUCUUCCUUGUGUGGUUGAGUUGCGGGCUUUCAAGUGGAGGAGAUCAAAGACUAAUUAGGCAAUGGUAAUAUACCUAGUUUAGUAGACAAUAUAUAUCAGAAAUGACAUGUAACAAAAAGUUAAAAAUGCAAUGAUUUUUUUUUGUAGGAAGAUAAAAUUCAUAGGUUAGAUUAAGAGGCUUGAGGUUCAAUAUAGACUAGAGGAUUCACAUAAGAUUCAAAGCUGUUAAUACAAGCCAUAGUCUGGAGAAAAGAGCCUUAACAAACAACUCAACCUAUACCAAACUAAAAGCAAAUUUAGCCCAAAGCUCAGAUGAAAUCUUAAUCUGGCGCACCAGAAGGAAGAUAGACCAAAAUAAGAGGACCACGUCGUCUACCGUCUAACAUAGCUUAUGGAGAAGACAAAAAUCAAAGUACGCACGUGCAAAGCCAACCAUUAUGUUAAGGGGCUUGCAACUACAGCAAACCAGAAAGCUAGAGUAGAGUUGAAGAAGGGCCCAAGGUUAGAUAAUGAAGCACGGUAGAACCAUGAGGAGAGAAGCGCAAAUCAACCCUGCAUAAGCAAGGGGUCGUGGUAGUAUCACUUUUCGACAUCUCACUCGAGCCUUCCAAGAUGGCCAUUGAUCUUUGUCGGCUUAACCAACGAGCUACCACCAGCGGAAGCUAUGUUCCUCCUUUCUCGAGACUAGACAAAUUGAACUCAAUAUCCGAACUCCUUCACGUCACAUGUAAACCAUAAAAACAGAAACACAACCCACAUUGCAUGCAAUAGCCUAAUUCAAUUGCAAUAGUCGGCAAAUCAAAACAUGCCCUCAUCAAGAAGGUUCAUCUGCUGCAAAAUCAUAUUACCGUUAUUCACAACCCCACCAAGAGGGAGGGAAACCCGUCAUCCGAGCAAAACGGAGGAAGAGAUACCCCUGCCUGGAAGGUUAGGGAUAGCCAUAAAACAGGUAGGAAAUGAGGCUAAACAUUGAAGAAAAAGUGCAUUAAAAGUCUAUAAAGAUAAAAAUUACAACUCACAUAUAAAAACACCUGCACAGAAAGGGCAGCUCAUACUGAGUAAUAGCAACACUGAAUAAUAGUAACAAGGCCACCACCCAUGAUUGUCACCACCGUAGACAUUGAGCAAACCGAAGCCAAUAACACAAGUUAACAAUACAAGAAGCAAACUAAAUGUUGACAUGACAUUUCAUUUGCGUCUUAGCUGUGAUUGACA
rnacentral:misc_RNA from 1 species